rnacentral:tRNA from 1 species
GCCACCCAUCCAGUAUGGUGGGUAUGACCCUCGGCUUGUAACCGAGUGGUUUCGGGUUCGAAUCCCGAGUAAGGCA